rnacentral:rRNA from 1 species
UACGAAGGGGGCUAGCGUUGUUCGGAAUCACUGGGCGUAAAGCGCAUGCAGGCGGAUCGAUAAGUCGGGGGUGAAAGCCCGAGGCUCAACCUCGGAACUGCCUUCGAUACUGUCGAUCUUGAGUCCGGGAGAGGUGAGUGGAACUCCGAGUGUAGAGGUGAAAUUCGUAGAUAUUCGCAAGAACACCAGUGGCGAAGGCGGCUCACUGGCCCGAUACUGACGCUGAGGCACGAAAGCGUGGGGAGCAAACAGG